AUUAUAUUAGCAAAUUAGUGCAUUAAAUUUAGAAUUUAAAUAAAUAAAUUAUUAUAUUUAUAUAUAAUA
rnacentral:tRNA from 1 species